CACCAGACUCCUACGGGAGGCAGCAGUGGGGGAUAUUGGACAAUGGGGGGAACCCUGAUCCAGCGACGCCGCGUGAGUGAAGAAGUAUUUCGGUAUGUAAAGCUCUAUCAGCAGGGAAGAUAAUGACGGUACCUGACUAAGAAGCUCCGGCUAAAUACGUGCCAGCAGCCGCGGUAAUACGUAUGGAGCAAGCGUUAUCCGGAUUUACUGGGUGUAAAGGGAGCGCAGACGGCAGGGCAAGUCUGAUGUGAAAGUUCGGGGCUCAACCCCGGGACUGCAUUGGAAACUGUCCGGCUAGAGUGCAGGAGAGGUAAGUGGAAUUCCUAGUGUAGCGGUGAAAUGCGUAGAUAUUAGGAGGAACACCAGUGGCGAAGGCGGCUUACUGGACUGUAACUGACGUUGAGGCUCGAAAGCGUGGGGAGCAAACAGGAUUAGAUACCCCUGUAGG
rnacentral:rRNA from 1 species